rnacentral:lncRNA from 11 species
UGGAGAUUCAAUGGAGAGAUGCAAUAAUCAUUUUUUUACUAAGAAAGUGCAGAAAUCCUACAACGAUUGAGCUAUGGUGUCACCAAAAAAUAGGAGACGGUCACUGGUGAAUUGUCCGGCUUAGUACUGACCAGAUGCGGCGGUGAAUCUUGCUAGAAGAAAAUGCUCAAACCUAGCAGACUACGUCGGAGAAGUUAACUUAAUUCAAUAACCUGCAUUGAAGUAAGUCCUCUCACGUCCAGUGCGAUGAACCGACUUGUGGAAGCCAUCCCUCGCUGUGUGUAAUAUUAUGCAUAGCUAUUAACCAGUAGCUGAAGUGAAAUCUAAAUUCAAUACAU